rnacentral:rRNA from 1 species
AACGCUAGCUACAGGCUUAACACAUGCAAGUCGAGGGGAAACGAUAUUGGAAGCUUGCUUCCGAUAGGCGUCGACCGGCGCACGGGUGAGUAACGCGUAUCCAACCUGCCCACCACUUGGGGAUAACCUUGCGAAAGUAAGACUAAUACCCAAUGAUAUCUCUAGAAGACAUCUGAAAGAGAUUAAAGAUUUAUCGGUGAUGGAUGGGGAUGCGUCUGAUUAGCUUGUUGGCGGGGUAACGGCCCACCAAGGCAACGAUCAGUAGGGGUUCUGAGAGGAAGGUCCCCCACAUUGGAACUGAGACACGGUCCAAACUCCUACGGGAGGCAGCAGUGAGGAAUAUUGGUCAAUGGACGAGAGUCUGAACCAGCCAAGUAGCGUGCAGGAAGACGGCCCUAUGGGUUGUAAACUGCUUUUAUAAGGGAAUAAAGUGAGUCUCGUGAGACUUUUUGCAUGUACCUUAUGAAUAAGGACCGGCUAAUUCCGUGCCAGCAGCCGCGGUAAUACGGAAGGUCCGGGCGUUAUCCGGAUUUAUUGGGUUUAAAGGGAGCGUAGGCCGGAGAUUAAGCGUGUUGUGAAAUGUAGACGCUCAACGUCUGCACUGCAGCGCGAACUGGUUUCCUUGAGUACGCACAAAGUGGGCGGAAUUCGUGGUGUAGCGGUGAAAUGCUUAGAUAUCACGAAGAACUCCGAUUG